rnacentral:rRNA from 1 species
UACGUAGGGCGCGAGCGUUGUCCGGAAUUAUUGGGCGUAAAGAGCUCGUAGGCGGUCUGUCGCGUCGGCUGUGAAAACCCGAGGCUCAACCUCGGGCCUGCAGUCGAUACGGGCAAACUAGAGUACUGCAGGGGAGACUGGAAUUCCUGGUGUAGCGGUGAAAUGCGCAGAUAUCAGGAGGAACACCGGCGGCGAAGGCGGCCCUCUGGAUCGUUGCUGACGCUGAGACGCGAAAGCGUGGGGAGCAAACAGG